GCGACCCCAGGAUGGGCGAGGCCACCCGCCGAGUUUAAGCAUAUCAAUAA
rnacentral:ncRNA from 11 species